rnacentral:rRNA from 1 species
CAGUCGCCGCGGUAAUACAGAGGAUGCAAGCGUUAUCCGGAAUGAUUGGGCGUAAAGCGUCUGUAGGUGGCUUUUCAAGUCCGCCGUCAAAUCCCAGGGCUCAACCCUGGACAGGCGGUGGAAACUACCAAGCUAGAGUACGGUAGGGGCAGAGGGAACUUCCGGUGGAGCGGUGGAAUGCGUUGAGAUCGGAAAGAACACAACGGCGAAAGCACUCUGCUGGGCCGACACUGACACUGAGAGACGAAAGCUAGGGGAGCAAAUGGGGUUAGAUACCCCAGUAGUCCCUGUCUCUUAUACC